GAUGAACGCUGGCGGCGUGCCUAAUACAUGCAAGUCGAGCGAACAGACGAGGAGCUUGCUCCUCUGACGUUAGCGGCGGACGGGUGAGUAACACGUGGAUAACCUACCUAUAAGACUGGGAUAACUUCGGGAAACCGGAGCUAAUACCGGAUAAUAUAUUGAACCGCAUGGUUCAAUAGUGAAAGACGGUUUUGCUGUCACUUAUAGAUGGAUCCGCGCCGCAUUAGCUAGUUGGUAAGGUAACGGCUUACCAAGGCAACGAUGCGUAGCCGACCUGAGAGAGUGGUCGGCCACACUGGAACUGGGACACGGUCCAGACUCCUACGGGAGGCAGCAGUAGGGAAUCUUCCGCCAUAGGCGAAAGCCUGACGGAGCAACGCCGCGUGAGAGAUGAAGGUCUUCGGAUCGUAAAACUCUGUUAUUAGGGAAGAACAAAUGUGUAAGUAACUAUGCACGUCUUGACGGUACCUGAUCAGAAAGCCACGGCUAACUACGUG
rnacentral:rRNA from 1 species